rnacentral:rRNA from 1 species
CCUACGGGAGGCAGCAGUGGGGAAUAUUGCACAAUGGGGGAAACCCUGAUGCAGCGACGCCGCGUGAGUGAAGAAGUAUUUCGGUACGUAAAGCUCUAUUAUCAGGGAAGAAAAUGACGGUACCUGACUAUGAAGCUCCGGCUAAUUACGUGUCAGCAGCCGCGGUAAUACGUAGGGGGCAAGCGUUAUCCGGAUUUACUGGGUGUAAAGGGAGCGUAGACGGCAGCGCAAGUCUGGAGUGAAAUCCCAUGGCUUAACCAUGGAACUGCAUUGGAAACUGGGCAGCUAGAGUGCAGGAGAGGAAAGCGGAAGUCCUAGUGUAGCGGUGAAAUGCGUAGAUAUUAGGAGGAACACCAGUGGCGAAGGCGACUUACUGGACUGUAACUGACGUUGAGGCGCGAAAGCGUGGGGAGCAAACAGGAUUAGAUACCCGAGUAGUC